rnacentral:rRNA from 1 species
UACGUAGGGGGCAAGCGUUGUCCGGAUUUACUGGGCGUAAAGCGCCUGUAGGCGGAAGCUUAAGCGGUGCCUGAAAGCCCCCGGCUCAACCGGGGAGGGCGGUGCCGAACUGGGCUUCUUGAGGGCGAUAGAGGAAGGUGGAAUUCCGGGUGUAGCGGUGGAAUGCGUAGAGAUCCGGAAGAACACCGGUGGCGAAGGCGGUCUGCUGGGCCAAGACUGACGCUGAGGCGCGACAGCGUGGGGAGCAAACAGG